AAUGCCAUUACUAAAUGUCCGAUAGGUGGUUAUAACGUCAACUUUAAACCGAAAUAACUUGAGUUAGAGAGCAGAUACUAAGAAACGGUUUUCACUACUGUAAUAAUCGUUUUUCUACUUCGGUUUCGUACUGAGGUCAUUACAAUACGCGAUUUGCGAUUUGCUUAUCGUACCUAAUAUCUAACGCAGUGCUAUAAUAAUUACACUAAAAACCAGGGUAAUUUAGUUGGAUAAUGUUAACAACCUAGUUGUUUGAUAAUUAUAUGAGAGAACUGUCAUUGUCAAUCGGGACCUCUUUCAAGUGCAUAAUUUAAUCAAAUUAAUCAAAUACGAACGAGGCUGUUGUAUCAUUCCUGAUAUCUUCGAACCCUCUUCGAACACCAUUUGAAGCAGAAAGGUAGUAGAAAGUAGUUUCGUAGUAGAAGUAGAAAAAAUUUUGUAUGAUAUCUUGUUUAUAAGGCAUUUUGUCGCACUUACACUAUUAUCGCUAUUUUGCAUAAUUAAGAUAUGCUCAUUUUCAUCGUUGGAGGGGUUGUCCCUGCGAGUUGCUAAAGUCCAUUAGUCACCUUUAAAUGUUAGAAAAGUAAUAACUUUUUUUCCUAACCCAUAAAUACGCGCUAUCAGUGUGACGUAGACAUUUGAGGUAGGUCAGCACCUUAAAGCUAAACAAUCGCCAUUUUCAAUGCUUUUCUUAUGGGCAUUUAAAAGUUUUUCGUAUUUCUUUAAUGCUAGAAGUGUAGGAACAUUACUUUUACAGAGAAAUGAUAGCUAUGAAAAAUGCAAUGUCGUUUCUUAAAGAUUUUAGCAACUGAGCUAAUAUUUCUUUUUUCUUAAUUUGGACAUCAUAUUGAUGUAAAUUAUUAUGUGGCCUUUUAAAACUGAGGGAAAAAUGGUUUGCCACACUAAUGACAUUGGAUUUCUUCUGAAUGACGAAUUCAUGGGGUGCAACCGGCGCAACCCCAAUAAACGGGUUGUUUUCUGUCCCCCUCCCCCAUCACGAGGGAUGAAUAGCAGGUAUACGAGGGUAGAGGGUUCAGGCACAUACAUGGUUGAAAGUAGUACGGGUUGUGAGUUCUGUGCUUCUUUCGUGAGUGUCUUUUGUUAUCGUGUUUUUUCCGAUCGUUCUCCAUAUCUUCGUGUUCUUGAAUUUUUAAAAUUCUGUUUUUCCAAGACAUUAUCUCAUUUUUGUGGUACAUCAUUAGGUAUGAUUUGUGAAUAAUAUUUUGUUGCGAUACUUUGAUAGUUCAUGUGUAGUAGGUUUUUACAUCACAACUAUGGGAAUGUGUUGGGCUCCAGAUUGCAAACACUAUAGUACUCGCGAUAAAUGCCAUUUUUUUAGUUUUCCUAAGUCGGGAAAAGAACGAGCACUAUGGAAAAAAUUGUUGAGAAGAGAUGUAGAACCCGGACCAGGAGCCUACGUUUGCAGCUGCCAUUUUCGGGAUGGAAGAAAGGAAAAUGGUCCUGAAUUAUUUUUGCACAAUAUCGCAAAAAGAGCCUAUUUUCAAGUGGAAUCUCCAGAAAAAAAAAAGAUGAAAAAACAAGGACUCCCUUCUUGUUCUAGUUCCGCUGAAUCAUUAAGUGUUGAUAUACCGGAAGAAACAGUACCAUCGACAAUGAAUUUAGAGGAAGUGCCAUCGACGUCUACAGCCGUAGUUGCAGCACCAGCAGAUAUAAUUCAAGAUGCUCCGUUAGAAUCUAUGGGUGUGCAAGCACCCUUGGUGUCACAUGCGGCUCUUGAAGCAGAAAUGUAUUUUCUCAAAAAGGAAAAUGCUGAACUUAAAGCAAAAAUACAAUAUCUGACAGUACGAUUUUGCUAUGAAAAUGUUCAAGGAAAUGACAAACUCAUUGUUUUAUAUACCGGUCUUCCCAAUAGCCAGAUUUUCGAAGCAUUGUUUCACUUAAUCGAAAAGUUGGACAUAAAAUAUUACCACAAAUGGACAGUCCAAAAGUUAACUAGAAUUGACCAACUCUUUUUAACCCUAGUAAAAUUACGACUCAAUUUCCCUCAACUUGAUUUGGCGCAACGCUUUGGGGUUGCCCAAAGCACAGUUUCUAAUAUUAUUUUAACAUUUGUCCAUGUAAUAUAUGAAAUUUUAUAUAAACAGUUUAUGACGACAAUGCCUUCGCGCGAAAAAAAUAAAUCUUGCUUGCCAACAUGUUUUAGCAAUUUUACUAAUUGUAGAGCAGUUCUAGAUUGUACCGAAAUUUUCACUGUGGUAUCACGUAAGUCUAUGUCAACACAGAAAUUAACAUAUAGUACUUACAAACAUCAUAAUACUUUCAAAGGGCUAAUUGGAGUUGCACCCAAUGGUGUCAUCACAUUUGUAAGUGAUUUAUACGUGGGAUCAACUUCUGAUCAAAAAGUUGUUUUAAAUUGUGGAAUAAUCGACAUGUUAAAAACUGGAGAUAUGAUUUUAGCCGAUAAGGGAUUUUUGAUCCAAAAUAUUCUGCCACCAGGGGUCACUUUGAAUAUUCCACCUUUUUUAUCAAAUGUCCAAUUUACACCAGAGCAAGUUAAGUGUACCGAAAAUAUUGCACGUGCAAGAAUACACGUCGAAAGGGCAAUACGCCGAUUAAAAUGUUAUCAUAUUUUAAAUUUUUUGCCAGAGUCUUUGUGCCACUAUGGAGAUAUUGUUUUUAAAGCGACUGCCGCUUUAACAAACCUCCAAUUUCCAUUAAUUAAAGAGGUAGCAGAAUUGUUUCAGGAUUGUGAUGAUUAAAAUAAUGUAAAAUAAAAACCAUCUAUUUAUA